UGCUGGUGAACAGGUAUGGACAUCAAUAUUAUUUGCUAUGUAUACUUACAUCCGGUGCUAACAGGCAAACCUUAAAGUCGGUAUGAUGGAUGACAGACAACCUUUGCUUCCUACUUAAGCUCGAGCGUAAUAUAGCAGUGUUAGUAGUAUAUGGAGCAGCAUACUGUACAAAACCGCGGUGAUGGGUAAGGAGACGGUAGCGUUUCCAUUCAAGCCAAUUUUUUCUGAGGAAGGUUUGAGUGGCUGUCUCAGAGCGAAUGCACACGAGCUAAAUAAGAUGGAGGG
rnacentral:lncRNA from 1 species